rnacentral:rRNA from 1 species
GAUGAACGCUGGCGGCGUGCCUAAUACAUGCAAGUCGAGCGAACAGACGAGGAGCUUGCUCCUCUGACGUUAGCGGCGGACGGGUGAGUAACACGUGGAUAACCUACCUAUAAGACUGGGAUAACUUCGGGACACCGGAGCUAAUACCGUAUAAUAUAUUGAACCUCAUUGUUCAAUAGUGAAAGACGGUUUUGCUGACACUUAUAGAUGGAUCCGCGCCGCAUUAGCUAGUUGGUAAGGUAACGGCUUACCAAGGCAACGAUGCGUAGCCGACCUGAGAGGGUGAUCGGCCACACUGGAACUGAGACACGGUCCAGACUCCUACGGGAGGCAGCAGUAGGGAAUCUUCCGCAAUGGGCGAAAGCCUGACGGAGCAACGCCGCGUGAGUGAUGAAGGUCUUCGGAUCGUAAAACUCUGUUAUUAGGGAAGAACAAAUGUGUAAGUAACUAUGCACGUCUUGACGGUACCUAAUCAGAAAGCCACGGCUAACUACGUG